AUAAAGAUUCUGUGCUUGCAUAUUAAUGAGCCGAUCGAAAAUGCGCAUUCCGUAAUAAUUAAUGUCGAAAAAAUAUAUCGCGCAAGUGAACGCAAAGUUAAGAUCGAUAUACGUAGUAUCGAUCGUGGCGCGUGAGUCGAUCGCGCGGAGACGAAGUGUCUUCUCGCUCUUUUCACUUGCGGAACGCGGCGAGUGCGGGUGGACCGAACUGGUGCGAGUCAUUGCGACUCGUUUAACAGAACGGAACGGACGCGGGACGGAUCGGUUCCGGAACGGAGGCGUUAUCGCGGCUUCGUUUUAACAAAAUGCAAUAGACACUUUUACAAGACGUGGAAUGAAGUGGGUCCGGAACGAUUGGUAUCGCUAUUUCAAUUAAACGCGGCAAAUGCGAGACAGACCUGCUCCAGAACGAGUGGCAACGCAAUUUAUUUUGAUAAAUUGUGAAAAGAAGAAAAAAGAGAGCAGGAGUUGGACAAUUUCCCAAAAUAAGAGUCCUAGAAGAGGCGGUGUCGGUGGAGCAAUUUAGCGAUUAACAUUGCAGGAUCUGUGAGAAGGAAAAAACCUGGGAGAAGCUUUGGGCCCCGGCGGAGCAACUUUGGAAUUCAUAGUAGCGAUGACUGAUAACUCCACUGCGCAUCGAUUGCUCACAUAUGUAUGUACAACACUCGUCGACAAUUUAAAUAAAAAUAAAGGAACAGCAACCUGUUCGUCGCGUCGCGCGUUUGUUCCGGUAGUGCCGUUUAAAGUAAUUGGGCUUAAUUAGUCCACGCGCGCAAAUUUAAUAUAUUAUUCGCGAGUGUUCCGCGAGUGCAAUGAAAGAACGAAGCUCGAUCUGGAUCUGAGAGGAGGAGGAGGCCUAGAAGAGGUAUCAGGUUGCAACGGAGCAACUUUGAAGUAAAUAUCAAAGUAUCAUUGCAGCUUUAUGGGUGAUUGUUUCCGCCUGUUCCGCAUCAGAACGUAAUCACCACAGCUCCGUGGCUAAUUACUUCCGCUUGAUGCGCAUCGGAAUUGAAUGUGCUACAUUAUUUCGAGUAUCGUGAAUUAAUUUUUGAUUUGUUUUGGAUAUCUUUCUAAUACCGAAUUGAUCUCAUUGAGCUUGAUGCGAAAUAAAUGUUUUACUUGAUUCGCGCAUCAACGCGACGUGACGUUCCGUCCGUAUGCGAUUCGUUAUACUCGUUUCUCUCUUCGCUACGAUGGAUCUGUCACAGCGGUUGGACAUGACGAGUCGCAAUGUUUCACGAUUUUCUCGAGACAGGUCUGUAACUUUUGCGAUUUGAAAGAAUCGCUCCGACUCCGAGCUUGAUGUAGUAUACGCGAGCGCGUUAGCGCGAGCAAUUCCCUAGCCUCGGCACGAUUUGCUCGGCUCUCUCGAUAAAACCUCGUAAAUUCUCAACUUCGUUACGCGACGAACCUGCACGCUUCCAGGAUAUAAAGUUCUUACUUGCCCGGCCCGGCAGGUUUUGCAUCGCCGUUCGUUGGUAUUCGCCUGUUCGUAGGAUCGAGAUAGCGCCGAUCCGAUGUAGCCGCUCUAUCUCAGAUUUUUAUGCUAAUCCGCUAACGCGGUUGUCUCCCCCCGCGUGUUACGAUCCGGGUGCACCUGUUGAGCACAUGUCGUACGUCGCGCACGCAUUUCGCUUUUUUCUUUUCUCUUUCGCUUCGAUAGCCGGCGUUAAGGCGCGAUUAUAGAGCGGGAGACAAAAAAUUCCGCAAUCGGUCGACGAUCUCCGACAGUACCAGUAGCGAGAGCGCUUUUUAAGCGCCACAUCGAGUCGCGCGCGACGAGCAGCGGCUCGCCAGAAGUGUAUUAACGAGCGGAGCCAUAACGCGAGCGUUUAUUUCUCUAUCGGCGGCGUCGGUUCUCGAAAGGGCCCGAUAGAAACGGCGGAAACUUACACGGCAGGCCGAUAAUUAGCUCGAGCCGAAUCGGUUCUUGGGAGGCGAGAGAGCGAGAAAGAGAAUAAGAGCGCGUACCCCAGUGGCCGGCGCGGCGGUAAUCGCCGUAAUUUAUGCCCCGACAAGCACCGAAGGGAGGACACGAGGGAGGCUCGUUGAGAUAGGCCAGGAGCGUAAAAAAGGCGUACGGCGAAAAUGUCGCCCAAUUAACGGGUGAAUUGGAGCGACCGAGGUCGAGCUUCGCCGCGCUAAGUUGCGUACGCGCGUGUAUGCGUGUUUAACGCGCGCGCUCUCGUGUGCUCUCGUGUACCGACAUCCGCGUGGUGGAAGCCCGGCCGGGCGGAGAGGAGGAAGCUUAACGAGUCUUCUCGCUCGCGCGAGCAAAAGCCGCCGCCGCCGCCACCGCGUCAUUAGCGCGGGAGUGAGCGAGCGAACGAGUCGGCUUAAAUAUCGCGGAGCGUUCAGAGCUGAACGAGGAGGCCCGGCCUCGCCGAGAGGAGCGCCUUCUCUUUUGAACCUCGAGCCACUUUUACGAUUUUAUUAUUGGCUCUUGCGCUCGCGAUAUUUAUGCGACGCCGCGCGAUAUUUUCCACGGCGCAACGCGUCGACUUUAAUAGUGGCCGCCUUAUCCCGAGAGGAGGACGGUCCUUUACCGUUGCGAGUCUGAUGCACUAACAACGCGCGCGACUUAAUUAGGAGAGCCGCCGAUGAGACCCGUCUGCCGCGAGAAGACCGCGAGAUUUUACGUUUUGCUGAUGCGAAACCGUGCCUGUGAAAAAUAGAUGUUUGCCCGACGCAACAGAGCGCUCACGACUUAUAUUCUCUCGAGUAAUGUUUGAAGUAAAUGUCCGUUUUGCUCAAGGUUUACUAACCGGAACUGUUUACCGUCGUGUUUCAUUAAUAACGAAUUCGAUUGGACGCAGUGGUACACAUUAAAGCCGUUGUACAUGAAUGUUUGUUUAAUAUAAAUAAAUAAAUAAAUUAAAUCACAAAAUUCUCAAUACACUUUAUUGUUUUGUUAAAAUAAAAAAAAUAUAAGUAAUU